GGUUAAGCGACUAAGCGUACACGGUGGAUGCCCUGGCAGUCAGAGGCGAUGAAGGACGUGCUAAUCUGCGAUAAGCGUCGGUGAGGUGAUAUGAACCGUUAUAACCGGCGAUUUCCGAAUGGGGAAACCCAGUGUGUUUCGACACACUAUCAUUAACUGAAUCCAUAGGUUAAUGAGGCGAACCGGGGGAACUGAAACAUCUAAGUACCCCGAGGAAAAGAAAUCAACCGAGAUUCCCCCAGUAGCGGCGAGCGAACGGGGAGGAGCCCAGAGCCUGAAUCAGUGUGUGUGUUAGUGGAAGCGUCUGGAAAGGCGUGCGAUACAGGGUGACAGCCCCGUACACAAAAAUGCACAUAUUGUGAGCUCGAUGAGUAGGGCGGGACACGUGGUAUCCUGUCUGAAUAUGGGGGGACCAUCCUCCAAGGCUAAAUACUCCUGACUGACCGAUAGUGAACCAGUACCGUGAGGGAAAGGCGAAAAGAACCCCGGCGAGGGGAGUGAAAAAGAACCUGAAACCGUGUACGUACAAGCAGUGGGAGCCUCUUAAUGGGGUGACUGCGUACCUUUUGUAUAAUGGGUCAGCGACUUAUAUUCUGUAGCAAGGUUAACCGAAUAGGGGAGCCGAAGGGAAACCGAGUCUUAACUGGGCGUUAAGUUGCAGGGUAUAGACCCGAAACCCGGUGAUCUAGCCAUGGGCAGGUUGAAGGUUGGGUAACACUAACUGGAGGACCGAACCGACUAAUGUUGAAAAAUUAGCGGAUGACUUGUGGCUGGGGGUGAAAGGCCAAUCAAACCGGGAGAUAGCUGGUUCUCCCCGAAAGCUAUUUAGGUAGCGCCUCGUGAAUUCAUCUCCGGGGGUAGAGCACUGUUUCGGCAAGGGGGUCAUCCCGACUUACCAACCCGAUGCAAACUGCGAAUACCGGAGAAUGUUAUCACGGGAGACACACGGCGGGUGCUAACGUCCGUCGUGAAGAGGGAAACAACCCAGACCGCCAGCUAAGGUCCCAAAGUCAUGGUUAAGUGGGAAACGAUGUGGGAAGGCCCAGACAGCCAGGAUGUUGGCUUAGAAGCAGCCAUCAUUUAAAGAAAGCGUAAUAGCUCACUGGUCGAGUCGGCCUGCGCGGAAGAUGUAACGGGGCUAAACCAUGCACCGAAGCUGCGGCAGCGACACUAUGUGUUGUUGGGUAGGGGAGCGUUCUGUAAGCCUGUGAAGGUGGCCUGUGAGGGUUGCUGGAGGUAUCAGAAGUGCGAAUGCUGACAUAAGUAACGAUAAAGCGGGUGAAAAGCCCGCUCGCCGGAAGACCAAGGGUUCCUGUCCAACGUUAAUCGGGGCAGGGUGAGUCGACCCCUAAGGCGAGGCCGAAAGGCGUAGUCGAUGGGAAACAGGUUAAUAUUCCUGUACUUGGUGUUACUGCGAAGGGGGACGGAGAAGGCUAUGUUGGCCGGGCGACGGUUGUCCCGGUUUAAGCGUGUAGGCUGGUUUUCCAGGCAAAUCCGGAAAACCAAGGCUGAGGCGUGAUGACGAGGCACUACGGUGCUGAAGCGACAAAUGCCCUGCUUCCAGGAAAAGCCUCUAAGCAUCAGGUAACAUCAAAUCGUACCCCAAACCGACACAGGUGGUCAGGUAGAGAAUACCAAGGCGCUUGAGAGAACUCGGGUGAAGGAACUAGGCAAAAUGGUGCCGUAACUUCGGGAGAAGGCACGCUGAUAUGUAGGUGAAGCGACUUGCUCGUGGAGCUGAAAUCAGUCGAAGAUACCAGCUGGCUGCAACUGUUUAUUAAAAACACAGCACUGUGCAAACACGAAAGUGGACGUAUACGGUGUGACGCCUGCCCGGUGCCGGAAGGUUAAUUGAUGGGGUUAGCGGCAACGCGAAGCUCUUGAUCGAAGCCCCGGUAAACGGCGGCCGUAACUAUAACGGUCCUAAGGUAGCGAAAUUCCUUGUCGGGUAAGUUCCGACCUGCACGAAUGGCGUAAUGAUGGCCAGGCUGUCUCCACCCGAGACUCAGUGAAAUUGAACUCGCUGUGAAGAUGCAGUGUACCCGCGGCAAGACGGAAAGACCCCGUGAACCUUUACUAUAGCUUGACACUGAACAUUGAGCCUUGAUGUGUAGGAUAGGUGGGAGGCUUUGAAGUGUGGACGCCAGUCUGCAUGGAGCCGACCUUGAAAUACCACCCUUUAAUGUUUGAUGUUCUAACGUUGGCCCGUAAUCCGGGUUGCGGACAGUGUCUGGUGGGUAGUUUGACUGGGGCGGUCUCCUCCUAAAGAGUAACGGAGGAGCACGAAGGUUGGCUAAUCCUGGUCGGACAUCAGGAGGUUAGUGCAAUGGCAUAAGCCAGCUUGACUGCGAGCGUGACGGCGCGAGCAGGUGCGAAAGCAGGUCAUAGUGAUCCGGUGGUUCUGAAUGGAAGGGCCAUCGCUCAACGGAUAAAAGGUACUCCGGGGAUAACAGGCUGAUACCGCCCAAGAGUUCAUAUCGACGGCGGUGUUUGGCACCUCGAUGUCGGCUCAUCACAUCCUGGGGCUGAAGUAGGUCCCAAGGGUAUGGCUGUUCGCCAUUUAAAGUGGUACGCGAGCUGGGUUUAGAACGUCGUGAGACAGUUCGGUCCCUAUCUGCCGUGGGCGCUGGAGAACUGAGGGGGCUGCUCCUAGUACGAGAGGACCGGAGUGGACGCAUCACUGGUGUUCGGGUUGUCAUGCCAAUGGCACUGCCCGGUAGCUAAAUGCGGAAGAGAUAAGUGCUGAAAGCAUCUAAGCACGAAACUUGCCCCGAGAUGAGUUCUCCCUGACUCCUUGAGAGUCCUGAAGGAACGUUGAAGACGACGACGUUGAUAGGCCGGGUGUGUAAGCGCAGCGAUGCGUUGAGCUAACCGGUACUAAUGAACCGUGAGGCUUAACCUU
rnacentral:rRNA from 1 species